CCUUAACCGAGGAGUCCCAUAAUAGGACGAAACGGCCGUCAAACAG
rnacentral:hammerhead_ribozyme from 1 species